ensembl:snoRNA
AGUCUCUGGGUACUUACUGUGGGCUGUGUUCUUAAUCUGACCAUAUAGAAAGAGGCAGAGUAAAACUAACCCAUGCAUACCACAGCCUUGGCCCUGGAACUAGUCUGUAUUGUGUAAGAAGAGACACAA